rnacentral:rRNA from 1 species
AUUGAACGCUGGCGGCAUGCCUUACACAUGCAAGUCGAAUGGCAGCACGGGAGCAAUCCUGGUGGCGAGUGGCGAACGGGUGAGUAAUAUAUCGGAACGUGCCCAGUCGUGGGGGAUAACGUAGCGAAAGCUACGCUAAUACCGCAUACGAUCUACGGAUGAAAGCGGGGGAUCGCAAGACCUCGCGCGAUUGGAGCGGCCGAUAUCAGAUUAGGGAGUUGGUGGGGUAAAGGCUCACCAAGCCGACGAUCUGUAGCUGGUCUGAGAGGACGACCAGCCACACUGGGACUGAGACACGGCCCAGACUCCUACGGGAGGCAGCAGUGGGGAAUUUUGGACAAUGGGCGCAAGCCUGAUCCAGCAAUGCCGCGUGCAGGAUGAAGGCCUUCGGGUUGUAAACUGCUUUUGUACGGAGCGAAAAGGCUUCCACUAAUACUGGGGGCUCAUGACGGUACCGUAAGAAUAAGCACCGGCUAACUACGUGCCAGCCGCCGCAGUAAGAC